rnacentral:rRNA from 1 species
GACGAACCGAGCGAACGUUGUUCGGAAUCACUGGGCUUAAAGGGCGCGUAGGCGGGCUGCCAAGUUUGGGGUGAAAUCCUCCGGCUCAACCGGAGCAGUGCCUCGAAUACUGGCGGUGCUCGAGGGAGGUAGGGGCGUGCGGAACUGUGGGUGGAGCGGUGAAAUGCGUUGAUAUCCACAGGAACUCCGGUGGCGAAGGCGGCACGCUGGACCUUUUCUGACGGCUGAGGCGCGAAAGCCAGGGGAGCGAACGGG